AGCUCGGUAGCGCAAUGGUAGCGCGUCUCUGUCCACUUGCAACAUUCGCGGUGCUCGUUAUGGUUGACGGGAAGAUCUCGGUUCGAUUCCGAGUCGAGCUA
rnacentral:tRNA from 1 species